rnacentral:rRNA from 1 species
AAACUCAAAGGAAUUGACGGGGCCCGCACAAGCGGUGGAGCAUGUGGUUUAAUUCGACGCAACGCGAAGAACCUUACCAGGGCUUGACAUCCCCUGACCGCGUAUGAAAGUACGUUUUCACCCUCGGGUGACAGGGAGACAGGUGGUGCAUGGUUGUCGUCAGCUCGUGUCGUGAGAUGUUGGGUUAAGUCCCGCAACGAGCGCAACCCUCGACCUUAGUUGCCAGCAUUCAGUUGGGCACUCUAAGGUGACUGCCGGCUAAAAGUCGGAGGAAGGUGGGGAUGACGUCAAAUCAUCAUGCCCCUUAUGACCUGGGCUACACACGUGCUACAAUGGGCGGUACAAAGGGUCGCGAACCCGCGAGGGGGAGCCAAUCCCAAAAAGCCGCUCUCAGUUCGGAUUGCAGGCUGCAACUCGCCUGCAUGAAGCCGGAAUCGCUAGUAAUCGCGGAUCAGCAUGCCGCGGUGAAUACGUUCCCAGGCCUU